rnacentral:rRNA from 1 species
UACAGGGGGUGCAAACGUUGCUCGGAAUCAUUGGGCGUAAAGCGCACGUAGGCGGUCGGUUAUGUCGGAUGUGAAAGCCCUUGGCUCAACUGAGGAAGUGCAUCCGAAACUGGCAGGCUAGAGUACUAAAGAGGAUCGCGGAAUUCCCGGUGUAGAGGUGAAAUUCGUAGAUAUCGGGAGGAACACCGGUGGCGAAGGCGGCGACCUGGGUCGAUACUGACGCUGGAGCGCGAAAGCGUGGGGAGCAAACAGG